UACAGAGUGAAACUCCGUGAAUUUCUGAGC
rnacentral:piRNA from 1 species